CUUUGCAGCGAAUAGAAUCUGAAUCUACCUGUUGAUGCGGAAACUUUUUAUGUUUUCACAGUAGAAUUUAAAUCCUAGAGUUAGCAGCUGGCUAUGAGUCGCCAUGGCUGCUUGAUGUUAGUUCUUGUAGAAAAAUGCAGAUAUUCUUAACGAUGAACUAGAUUAAUUUGUGACAAACGGGGUCCACAGCACAGCUGUUUGGAGAGAUUAGUUGGCUGCGUGGUUGCCUGAUCAAAAUGCCGCAGAAUUAAACAAAUGGGUUAGAAUAAAUGUUCUAAUUUAUCCUGGCCUAAUAUCUAUCCAACACACGUCUGUGGAUAAUGUGAAAUAUUAUGAGUAAUUUAAGUUCGGGGAUCAAAUAAAGGAUCUGAAAGCGUCAGAAUCUGCAGCGUGUCACAGAUUAACUUGUGAUCCAGGAGGAUCUGGAGGAAUAUGGGCUGAAAAACACUCUGGAUAUUAUCAUCUUAUCCUCCAUUAGGGUUGCAGCAGACUACUUUAAAUUAUUUAUUAUUGAUUAUUUUUCUUGCUGCAGUUAUGAACCCGUCAUGAACCGUAACCAUGUUCAGUCAGCUGUCAUCUUAUUCCUUCUAUUGUUUUCAGGACGCCACAUUUUUUGGUUUGCAAGCAGAAAAACUUUAAAUAAUUCACGUUUAUUAAGUUACUGGCAUUAGAAUAUUGCUUUGUCUACUUUUUACUUUUAGUCUAAAUAGUUUGCUUCACUGGUAAAAUUAGAAGAACUAAUAAACCACUCAUCACAAAACGCUACCAGCGAGGAAAUGUUUGUCAUUUCAGAGUUAGGAAAUAAUAUUAUCUCGCCCAUCUGUGGAAAAUCUGUUAAAAUAAAUCGAGGGCAUGAAGCUACCUGUGAAUUCGAACCCGCGGCCGACUUCGUAUUUCCUUGCAAGGCGUCCCUUUACCUGCCGAGCUGUUGAUAACCCUAACCCACCGUCCCCAUGCCCAAAAUAUCACAUUUAUUCACACAAUAUGAACCGACUGCAGAGGUUUCACUUUUCCCUGCAGCUGUUCUGUUUUUCUGCUUUGUUCCUGAAACACAAAUUAAACUUUAAAGACAUUUCUAACUCCUCUGGAAACGAGUUGGACUGUAAAUAAUUAGUUUCCCUCCAUAUUAACAGUUUUUGAGAACAGAAAGAGGAAACAUUUAUUUUCACUCGUUUUAAUUUUCAAGCCAUACAGGAAGACAGAAAAAAGGAAACAUUACGCCGUUAGUUGUUUUUCCUUCUACUCGGUUCUUUCUCUCAUCACUCUGAAACAAACAGAUCAACAACAGCAGGAAGAGUUCUUCUAAUCUCUGCAGGUUUGGAUAAAACACUAAAACAUUCUUUAUACUUUCUUAAUGCAAUUAAAUACCUUUGCGACGACAACUUAUUAACAUCUCAACGUAUUUCGUAUCGAUCUGAUGACACAAUUUGUAGUUCUUGGAGUUUACAGCAGUUUACUUCCUGUUUGGGGAGAGGGGUCCUGAAAAGCCCCGCCCACAGACACAUCUGCAAAAAUCAGCAGUUUUCCAGCUGCUGUCACCAGUUGAUCUGUCACACCGGUUCUGGGAACUAAUGAUUCAGUAGAGACUGGAGGUGGUUCUGGGAACUAAUGAUCCUGCAGAGACUGGAGGUGGUUCUGGGAACUAAUGAUCCAGUAGAGACUGGAGGUGGUUCUGGGAACAAAUGAUUCAGUAGGGAGUGAGGUGGUUCUGGGAACUAAUGAUCCAGUAGAGACUGGAGGUGGUUCUGGGAACUAAUGAUUCAGUAGGGACUGGAGGUGGUUCUGGGAACUAAUGAUCCAGUAGGGGCUAGAAGUGGUUCUGGGAACUAAUGAUCCAGUAGGGGCUAGAAGUGGUUCUGGGAACUAAUGAUCCAGUAGGGGCUAGAAGUGGUUCUGGGAACUAAUGAUCUGGGAACUAAUGAUCCAGUAGGGGCUAGAAGUGGUUCUGGGAACUAAUGAUCUGGGAACUAAUGAUCCAGUAGGGGCUAGAAGUGGUUUUGGG